AUGAACUUUUACAAAGUUUAUGAUUCAUUUUUAUUUCUUGUUUCUUUCCUUGCUGUCUACUUCAGAUUGGAAUGUUUGUUGUGAAGGAAUGAUUAUUCCCUAUUAUCCCCUAUUGAGGGAUGUAGAUUAAUGCUACCUUAAAGUCAACAAAAUCUUCCGGGUAAAUAGGAAGUAUUUUAUUAAAAUGAGAAGAGAAAUUUAUAUUUCCCUUAGUAUUUUUUUCCUUUGCCAUAUGCUUCAUCAACUUUUAGGGCCUAGCAAGGGAUGGGAUGAUCUGUAAUAUUUUAUUGUAUAUUUUUGUGUGUAUUUCUUUAAGAUCCUAGUGUUUGCUGCAUCUGGAGCUAACCCCUUUAAAAUUAUAUUAUAUCUAGCUUAUUUUAUCCAGCUCUCUUACUUUUUAUUUGAGAAAAAGGAAUUGACCAUUAUUUUUUUCAGCUGUCUUGUUUCUUUUGAGAAAAAGGAUUGAGGGUUAUGCCUGGCCCACCUCAGGCACCCAUAGAUAUUGCUACAUUUAUUCCUCACAGCACUUUGAGAAUUUUACCACCAGAGCAACUGAGAGCUGCUGCUUAUCUCUCUAAGAAAGUAAGACUACCUAAUUUUAAUGAAGAUGGGCUGUUUGAGUGCCCAUUAUUGAUUACUCGCUUGGAUAAUUUUGUCACUUUAGUAGAUUAAGAUCUAAAGAAUGUGGUGGGAGCUGCCAGCACACAAGGUGCCAACGGGCAGGGGAGAGGCAGAGGGAGGGGACGUGGGCUUAUCGCCAUGUGCGUCUUGCCUUCUGUCCCUCACUGGCCGCUGACCUGUCUGACUGCACCAGCUCUGCUGCUGCCCCACAGAAAUACUUGGAUUACCCAGUCUUUCCGCAUAUGAGACCGGUGUCAGAAUACUGGGCUCCUCAUCUCAUUUGGGCUUAUGCCAAAGAUGUAAAAUUUGGUGCAGGUGCCUGAGCCUUAAUGCUUCAAAGUGUCAACCUUUUAGUCAAAGCCAUAGCUGCUACAGUGGGGCCGAAGGGAAGAACUGUGAUUAUUGAAUGAAGCUAGGGAAGUCCCAGAGUAACAAAAGAUGGUGUGACUGUUGCAAAGUCAAUUGGCUUAAAGGAUAAAUAUAAAAAUAUUGGAGCUAAGCUUGUUGCCAGUAACACUAAGAUGUUGCCAAUAGCACAAAUGAAGAGGCUGGAGGUGGCACCACCACUGCUACUGUACUCGCACACCCUGUGGUCAAGAAAGGUUUUGAGAAGAUUAGCAGAGGUGCUAAUCCAGUGAAAAUCAGAAAAGGUAUGAUGUUAGCUAUUGAUGCUCUAAUUGCUGAACUUAAAAAGCAGUCUAAACCUGUGACAACCCUUGAAGAAAUUAUUCAGGUUGCUACAAUUUCUGCAAAUAGAGACAAAAAAAGUCAGCAACAUUAUUUCUGAAGCAAUGAAAGGGGUUGGAAGAAAGGCUGUCAUUACAGUAAAGGAUGGAAAAACACUGAAUGGUGCAUUAGAAUCACCAUAUCUAAUUUUUGCAUACCUAUUAGUACAUCGAAAUUUUUGCAUACUUUAUUAAUACAUUGAAUAAUUAGGCUAAAUUUUCACAUAACUUAUUAAUACAUCGAAAGGUCAGAAACGUGAAUUCAAGGAUGCCUAUGUUCCGUUGAGUGAAACAGAAAUGUCUAGUACCCAGUCUGUUGUACCUACUCUUGAAAUUGCCAGUGCUCACUAUAAGCCUUUGGUUGUCAUUGCUGAAGAUGUUGAUGGAGAAGCUCUAUAAACUUCCCUUUUGAAUAGGCUGAAAGUUGAUCUUCAGGUUAUAGCAGUGAAAGCUCCAGGUUUAUUGACAAUAGAAAGAACCAGCUUAAAGAUACGGCUCUUGCUGCUGGUGGUGCAGUGUUUGCAGAAGAGGGGUUGGCCUCAUAACACAGGAAAAGUUGGAGAGGUCAUUGUGACCAAAGGUGAUGCUGUGCUCUUUAAAGGAAAUGGUGACAAGUCUUGAAUUGAAAAUUAUAUUCAAGAAAUCAUUGAGCAGUUAGAUAUCACAGCUAGUGAAUAUGAAAAGGGAAAACUGAAUGAAUGGCAAAACUUUAAAAUGGAGUAGCUGUGCUGAAGGUUGGUGUGGCAAGUGAUGUCAAAAUGAAUGAAAAGAAAGAGUUACAGAUGCCCUUAAUGCUAUAAGAGCUGCUAUUGAAGAAAACAUCAUUCUGGGAUGGGGUUGUGCCUUGCUUCAGUGCAUUCCAGCCUUGGACUCAUUAACUCCAACUAAUAAAAAUAAAAAAUUGGUAUAGAAAUUAUUAAAAGAAUACUCAACAUUCUGGCAGUGACCACUGCUAAGAAUGCAGGUGUUGAAGGAUCUUUGGUAGCUGAGGCAAUUGUGCAGCAUUCCUCAGAAGCUGGUUAUGGAGCUAUGGUUGGGGAUUUUGUGAAUAUGGUGGAAAAGAAAUCAUUGACCCAACGAAGGAUGCGAGAACUGCUUUAUUAGAUGCUGCUUGGGUGCCUUCUCCAUUAAUUACAGCAGAAGUUGUAGUCACAGAAAUUCCUAAAGAAGAGAAGGACCCUGGAAUGGGUGCUGUAGGUGGAUGGGAGGUGGCAUUUCUGAUUCCUAGAAUAGAGCUUGACCUUUAUUCAUGAACUUGUGAUAGGAAGCUCAAGGCAGUAUUUCUCACCAGUAACUGAAGAAAAGGCUGGGUGAUGUUUUAAAAAAGUCACUGUAACCAUCAGUUAUUGGUUUAUGUUUUAAAUCACUGUAACCAUCAGUUACUGAUUUCAACUGACAAUAAAUAGCAGUUUACUGCUGUCAUUGUCCAUGCCUGCAAAUAAUUAUUUUGUACUUUUGGAUAAAAACACAUUUUACAUUCCUGAUACUGGGUGAAAGAGCCGCGUACCAAUGUACUGCUUUCAGCUUAAAUCACUGAGACAUUUUUACUACUAUGCUGUUAAAAUCAGGAUUUUAGUGCUUGCUAACAACAGAUGAGAAGUUAAGAAGCAGCUUUUCUGUGGAGAGUAAGAAUAAUUGUGUACAAAGUAGAGGAAUACCCAAUUAUGUGACAACCUGUAUGUAAUACAAAUUUGUUUAAAGUUAGAAUGAAUUGUUAGAUACCUUCAGUUAUGCAAGAAAGACUGAAUUCCACCAUAUUCACAAAAUCCCCAACCAUAGCUCCAUAACCAACUUCUGAGGAACGCUGCACAAUUGCCUCAGCUACCAAAGAUCCUUCAACACCUGCAUUCUUAGCAGUGGUCACUGCCAGAAUGUUGAGUAUUCUUUUAAUAAUUUCUAUACCAAUUUUUUAUUUUUAUUAGUUGGAGUUAAUGAGUCCAAGGCUGGAAUGCACUACUGUUUUCCAAUGAAACUCUAAAUAGAACUUUAGGUGGGCAAUUACUAAAAGGAAGAUAUAAUCUUAUUUAAUGGUAGAAUUGUGUAGCAGCUAACAAUAGUCAUUUACUUUUAAAAAUAUUUCCUCAGAAAGAUGCACAUUACUUUUAACUUUGGUCAUCUGCCACGACAGGGAAAUGGAAACUUUCCAAUGUACCUUCCGACAAGCCACGGCCAGCCCCGUGUGCAGUGUGAGCCUGGGACCCUGAAAGUAGGGCAGCGAGAGUGACCUUGAGAUACAGAAAAACAACUGGGAAGAAAGCUAACAAGAGGACACAGACUUUAUAUCAUGCUUUCGUCAUUUUAGACCUAAAACUGGCUCUAAGCCCCUCAUGUGAUCACACCUUCAUUUAUUUGUUGCCUAAAUAAAGAUCCAAACUGUCUAUCUAGAGACAGCUUUCAUAAAUUACUCAUUAUAGGUAGGGCACUCCUAGUCAGGGAUAAAGCUCCUGGUGAUUACAGAAUUCUGUCACUAGCUUCUAGAAGAAUAAACUCUCUAUUGAUGAAGACAUUUACUAAAAGUAUUUGGUAUGCUCUAUCCAUACCAGAGAAACACAGGAAUAGAUAAUUUUGUACAAAUCAUCUAAGAAGCUUCUCAUUUCAACAGAAAAGACUACAUCCAUUGUUAAGAAGAGAUAUGAUUAGUAAAUUAAAAAGUAUUUCCAUCUUUCUAAAAUUAGCUUUUUAAAAAAGUCUAGUUUAUGGAGAUUGAAUCAGUUUCUGCAUUCUGAAAGAAGGAGAAUGAUGCUGCUGGAGAUGGCUGAAUAUUGUCUUCCAGAUGACUUCCUGGGGGGCACUGGGGUCACCCAUGAUUUAGGGUUGACUGGGAGCAGACUCCGCAAGAUGGAGAUAAGGUGGGGGCAAACCAUUCCGGUGACCAUUAUAACAACCUAGGGCACUGCUUUUCAUAACCGGAAAAAGAAUUAGUAAUCUGAAGGUUAUAUGGUGAACAUAUGAGAGUAGUGUCUAGUGGUGUUUGAUCCAGGGCUUGGUGAGUUCUGGUAGAUGUCUUCUCUCCUAUAACAUAGUGUUUGUAUUAAUCAGACCAAGCAUCUCUGAUCUUCCUGGAUGUUCUAGCUACUGGUUCUAUGGCCAGGGCUGACCAAUCUCUUAGCAUUUGCACAAUAUUUGAUACAAAUUAAGUACAGCAUACUCGAUUAGGUAUUUACUUCCUAAGUCCUGAGUAUGUGUUAGUCCUUUGCUAUAUAUAUUUUUUUUUAACGUACGUCCUCUUGAUUGGAGUUUCGGAUGUUCCCAAACCCCUCAGUCAUCCCCUAAGACUCUGGAAUUUUGGGUUAUUCUCUAAAUGACUAAUCUCUGUCUUUGUGUGUGCUUUAGAAGUUUAACUAUGAGAAGGAAGCCAUAAUUCCUGGUCACAGGAGGAAACUUAAAAUUUCCACUAAUAAAGGAUCUAUGUUAUUAUGUUGCUGUGUCUCCUACAGUCCCUAGAACUGUGACUCGCCUUUAAUAAAUGGCUAUUGAUAGUAAGAUUAAUGGUCCUGAACUUGGGAAUCCACCACCGAAGCAUAAAUGCGCUUGAAGAAGACUUUGCAUUGUAAUAAACUUGUGCAAGGAAAGAGGGUCCAUCUCUUUGCCAGGGAUGUUCAUUUUGCAGCACAGUUUGAGAGCAAUCUUUUUCAAGUAAAUUGAAUAUGAAUGCCUGUCCCCAUCAUACAUUAAUGAAUUAGGGAUUGUCUCCCAUCCCCACCUUUUCUCUUUUGCUGUGUUAUAAAAUAGUUACCAAAUGUGCUUGUAAUUUGCAUAGAAGGCAUUGGCAUCAAACAUGAUGUCAGCGUAACUCAAUGAAAAGAUUUUCGAAAGGAAUAUGGAACACGUGAAAAUAUAUGUCAUAUCAAAAACGAGAGAUAAGCAGUGAUGUGGUGAACCCUUGCUCCUCCUAAUCUUGUGCUUUUCUUCCAUGAUUCUACCUACUGCAGGCACCUGCUCCCCUUUCACCGUUUAUGCAGGGGCUGGGGUCAGGAGGGCUGGCUGGAUGAUGAUGUGCAGCGAUUGCUGUGGUGCUCUUUAUUGCUUCCCUAACUCUGAAACCAAGUCUUCUUAGGAGUUGGAAGCAGGGAACAGCAGGAAUGGUGGAGGCAGGAUCUGGCAGCAGCUUCUCUAAAGUCAGCUGUAGGCGAGGCACACCAGCUCCUGAGAACUGGGGUGGGGAGGGGAGCUGUAGACAGCAGCAGCAGUGUCGUUUCCUCAGGAUGGGCCCCAAUUCCAGCCUUGGCUUGGCGUCCUGACCAGUGUGUCUAUGGGCAAGUCACCUGACAUUUCUUGUCUUCAAGUUUCGUUUGUGAAGUGAAGAGGGUGAUGAACCAUACAGAUUCUAAAAGGUUAUUUUUAGUUGUGUAACUAAUAACCAUCCUUCUUUGAUUCUCCUUGCACUACUUGCAGGGUAGCAGUGAGAAAACUAAGAAGAAAUUUUGAGUUAGAAGUUGAGUGAAUUCCUGCUCCUUUCAUAGUUGCAAUAUGUGACCACCAGCCCAUUGAAUGGAAUGGAGUGUGUUUGAAUUCUCCUCCCUGUGGUCACUGUGGCAGCAGGCUCAGCUUACUAGGGCCAUUUUUCUAAUGUACCUUUGGAAUUCUUCCAAAAUGUAUAGGGAGAAGUAGAAAAACCAGAGGCGUUCUGAGUGAGGAAAGAAGCAGAUGACUCAGCAAAUCACCAAUCUCCUUCAUUUCCUUGAACAGCAGAUAGUUGAAUUUCAUGAAGAAACUUUAAUUUUUUUCUGAUUAUGAAAGUCUUAUAUGAUUGUUUUAACCAAGUGUGCAGAGAAUGAUCAUACUUAUAGACAAUGUCUGUUUUGUUCAUAAGCGAAUUAAAAAGGUCGGGAAAGAUAUAUUCCAUAUUGUGAACAGUGGUCAUGUUUAGAAACUGAAAUGGGCAUGGUGAUUAGAAAAAUGUUAUAAGUGCUUAUUGUAGAACAGUCAGAUAAUAUAUAAAGGUGCAAAAA